rnacentral:lncRNA from 1 species
ACUGGAACAGCCAUGCCAUGUGCAGAAGACAGCAUUUCAAAGCACUCCUUUCCAUGUUCCUAAACUCAAAAUCUGUCCACUCUUUCUUUCAUGAUGUUCCUCGGUUUGGAGCGGCAAUCUGAUGUCCUCUUUAGGGCUGAGAGCUCAAGUCACUUGCUUUCAGCACAUCAACCAGGAAAUAUGGUAUGGAGAAGAAAUGAAGAAUUCCUUUAUUCAGGUCUACCCAGCAUUCCUAAUAAACAGGCACUCAUAGUGGAUUUGGGAACUGCAAAAUAAAUUCACAUUCCUGCAUCCUACUCAGAAGUUCCUUAAGCAAAAGCCAUGGAAAACCUAAGUCUAUAAGGCUUAUCUUUGCUGUCACAGGUUGUUUAUGGCCU